rnacentral:rRNA from 1 species
ACUCCUACGGGAGGCAGCAGUGGGGAAUAUUGCACAAUGGGCGCAAGCCUGAUGCAGCCAUGCCGCGUGUGUGAAGAAGGCCUUCGGGUUGUAAAGCACUUUCAGUCGUGAGGAAGGUAGUGUAGUUAAUAGCUGCAUUAUUUGACGUUUAGCGACAGAAGAAGCACCGGCUAACUCCGUGCCAGCAGCCGCGGUAAUACGGAGGGUGCGAGCGUUAAUCGGAAUUACUGGGCGUAAAGCGCAUGCAGGUGGUUUGUUAAGUCAGAUGUGAAAGCCCGGGGCUCAACCUCGGAAUAGCAUUUGAAACUGGCAGACUAGAGUACUGUAGAGGGGGUUAGAAUUUCAGGUGUAGCGGUGAAAUGCGUAGAGAUCUGAAGGAAUACCGGUGGCGAAGGCGGCCCCUGGACAGAUACUGACACUCAGAUGCGAAAGCGUGGGAGCAAACAGGAUUAGAUA